UUUUAUCAUGGCUCAGAAUGAACGCUGGCGGCGUGCCUAAUACAUGCAAGUCGAACGCUUUGUGGUUCAACUGAUUUGAAGAGCUUGCUCAGAUAUGACGAUGGACAUUGCAAAGAGUGGCGAACGGGUGAGUAACACGUGGGAAACCUACCUCUUAGCAGGGGAUAACAUUUGGAAACAGAUGCUAAUACCGUAUAACAAUAGCAACCGCAUGGUUGCUACUUAAAAGAUGGUUCUGCUAUCACUAAGAGAUGGUCCCGCGGUGCAUUAGUUAGUUGGUGAGGUAAUGGCUCACCAAGACGAUGAUGCAUAGCCGAGUUGAGAGACUGAUCGGCCACAAUGGGACUGAGACACGGCCCAUACUCCUACGGGAGGCAGCAGUAGGGAAUCUUCCACAAUGGGCGAAAGCCUGAUGGAGCAACGCCGCGUGUGUGAUGAAGGGUUUCGGCUCGUAAAACACUGUUGUAAGAGAAGAAUGACAUUGAGAGUAACUGUUCAAUGUGUGACGGUAUCUUACCAGAAAGGAACGGCUAAAUACGUGCCAGCAGCCGCGGUAAUACGUAUGUUCCAAGCGUUAUCCGGAUUUAUUGGGCGUAAAGCGAGCGCAGACGGUUAUUUAAGUCUGAAGUGAAAGCCCUCAGCUCAACUGAGGAAUUGCUUUGGAAACUGGAUAACUUGAGUGCAGU
rnacentral:rRNA from 1 species